CCCAGGCUUUUCUCUCCACCCAAGGUGCGAGCCCAGCCUCUGCAGAGCAGCAUGAGACAUGUGCUCGUGGAUGCAAACAAAAUCAUAUGUUAACAUUAGUUAACAGGUAUAAGGUAAAAGUCGUUAACUGUCUGUAAAGUAGCACAUUCUGAUGGGGUCCUGAGUGCUGGGAUUUCUUGAACCUGGGACACGUGUGUUGCAGAGUUAAAAAAGAAAUGACUUCCAUAUCAUAGGAGCCAGUAGUAGCCCCAGUAACAGCCAGACUCAGGCAGCUACUGCUUCAGUUGAAUGCCAAUAAUUUCUUUUAAAAGUCCACGUAACCACAGAAACAAACUCUGUUAUUAAGGAAAACUUGAGAUGACUGAUUUCGCUGGUGGUCAUAAACGGGCUGCGUGGUUUGGAUAUCAACACACAAGUGGCCGGAGGGAGCGAGCACAGGGGAAAGCCACCGAGGAGAUGCAGUGAAUUCCCAGACAAAAUCCAGCCACUGAGUCAGCAACUGCUUCCGAAUUGCCAAGGAAAGACACAAAGCCGUGUGACCAGUGGGCUCUGUCUUUUUUUUCUUUUUUCUUUUUUCCUUUUUUUUUUUUCCAAGCUUUAGUAGAAAAAUUGCCCAUUUCCUAAAGUAUUUUGCAAUGUGGAAAUAACCUGAGCUGCCUGGAAGGGCUGAUCCUGCCUUUUGUUGUAUUUCUCAUCACCACUCUCCUAAAAUUGACACCCCAGCAUAUGCACAUUGAGCAGUUCUGGUGUUUUCCUCCCGGCUCCAACUUAUUUACAACUGCAAUGUGGCCAAAGGCCUCAUUUUGCAACAUUGGGGAGUCUGGCAGCAAGCACCAAAAUCCGCACAGGUCCCCGGGGCGCUCCGCUGCACGCCUUAUUCUGCAGCCUCUGGUCUGACAGAUGUGCCCGUUUGCUAGGACAAGGGGAAUGGGCAAGUGAAAACGUACAUUCUGACAUUGUCUGUUCCAGGUAGGCUCCCUGCUGGACAACGCCUUGCAUGUCCCAGGACUGAUCUUCACCGGAGCUGUGAACGUUCAAUGAGGAGAAUUUAUGUUUAUACCAAAGCCUCAGAUUCAGUGACUGGCGAUACAAUGCACAAAACCACAGGGAAAUGUUCAAAAGAAGCUACACAGGUUUUGUUAGGCUGCGCUGUCUAGCAAAACUGGAUCAGUCACUUGGCACACAAACCCGGAGCGAGAUCGGGGUCUGCUGUUUUAGCGAGACUUAUUGUGAGGAAGGGAGCUACGUGAUGCAACUGUGUCGGACAACGUCACCUACGCUGUCUGAAGGCAAAGCACAGCUCUAAGGUUGUGGGUGCUACAGUUCCUCCUACUCGACUUGAUGGAGAGGCGAUCAGGAUGAGGCUGUGCCCUCAAGCCCAGUACUGGUGCUGCUUAGCGUGAGAACUGCAGUGGCACCUUUUACAGCAAGGAUCAAUGGAAGCCCGUGAGCAGCUUCGCCGCCAGGGAAACUACGGAGGCUGUGAGUGCCGGGGACUCAGGGACGACACGCACCGGGGCUCCCGGGUAUCCCGCGCCUCCAUUAGAGGGCUGCCGGGCUCCCACCCGGGACAACUGUCGGGUUCCCCCUGCUGUUCAGCUUUAGCA